UACGUAGGGACCAAGCGUUGUUCGGAUUUACUGGGCGUAAAGGGCGUGUAGGCGGGAAGGAAAGUCAGAUGUGAAAGCCCUGGGCUCAACCCAGGAACUGCAUUUGAAACUCCCUUUCUUGAGUGUCGGAGAGGAAAGCGGAAUUCCUGGUGUAGAGGUGAAAUGCGCAGAUAUCAGGAGGAACACCUAUUGCGAAGGCAGCUCGCUGGGACGUUACUGACGCUGAGACGCGAAAGCGUGGGGAGCAAACAGG
rnacentral:rRNA from 1 species